GACGAACGCUGGCGGCGUGCCUAAUACAUGCAAGUCGAACGAGAGCGACUGGUGCUUGCACUGGUCAAUCUAGUGGCGAACGGGUGAGUAACACGUGGGUAACCUGCCCAUCAGAGGGGGAUAACAUUCGGAAACGGAUGCUAAAACCGCAUAGGUCCUUUAACCGCAUGGUUGAAGGAGGAAAAGAGGCGUAAGCUUCUGCUGAUGGAUGGACCCGCGGUGCAUUAGCUAGUUGGUGAGGUAACGGCUCACCAAGGCCGUGAUGCAUAGCCGACCUGAGAGGGUGAUCGGCCACAUUGGGACUGAGACACGGCCCAAACUCCUACGGGAGGCAGCAGUAGGGAAUCUUCCGCAAUGGACGCAAGUCUGACGGAGCAAC
rnacentral:rRNA from 1 species